UCCCGCAGCCUCUUCCUCUCCUCCCGCACUCGCGCCUCUCCUCUUCCUCCAUGCCAUGGCUCCCCACCCUCUUCCUCGCACCGCCAUCUCUGCCUCCUCCCCUCCGGCCGCCACCUCUGCCUCCUCCCCCUCUCGCCUCUCCUCCUCCUCCUGUAGGAUCCCAUCCCCCUCACACCUUUCCUCCUCUCCUCCUGUCAUUCCCCUCCCCUAACCCUAGAACUGACGAGGAGGCCGAGCCGCCGUCUGCUGCCGGCCCAAGGUCAUCGAGGGGCACGGGCCACGACUCGCGCGGCCGCUCACCGAGGGGCACGGGCCAUGACUCGCCCAGCCGCUGCACCCUGGCGACGCAGGGCCAAAGGCGACGGCCGCGCUUCAUCAUCGCCGAGAGGAGCUGCUACUGCUGCUGCUCGCCAUCAUCGGGAGGCGAGGACGCUGCUGCUGCUCCGCUCAUGGACACGGAGCCUUCGUCCCUGCUCGCCAAGCAAUGCCGACAGCCAAGGGAGGAAUUGGAAGCAGGAUUCAGUUCACUAUAGCACCGUUGCCAUCAUUGUUGUGAUGGCGCCUUGGCGCUGCUGCUUCCGUGUGGUGGCACUGUUCAACGUCCGCUACAAAACCAACCAGGAUGAGCUCCUCUCCUUGCCUCCGGUUCUAACAUACAUGCAGCAAUCAAAAUAAAUGGCUAUGAAUGAGAAAGAUAAACUUGCAAAGAUAAUUCAAUUGUUUAGAACUCAAGAAGAAAUAGAAAACUUGAGGAGUUGAAGUUCCUUCUCGUUUGCUCAUUUUCGGUGGUUCAGGCACGUGUCGUUGAUGUUGGUCAAGCCAGUGCCCUCCUCUUGAACUAAUUUUCUUGAUGGUGGUCAGAUAUGGGGGUGCAGUGGAUUGAGACAGUUGGUCGAGUUACCAAUUUGUGGCUCUCCUACGCGCAUGAGGAAGGCGAUGCCAUUAUGCCUAGGCUGCCACGGAGCCGAACAAGAACGGUGGUCGGCCUGUCACCUAACUCCAUCAAGGUUUCGCUGUCGACCGUGUGUGGUUUCAGCAUCGUUUCUUGCUACUACAGGAUCAGAGUCGUUGUAGACUGGGAGGCAAUAAAAACUAUCAGGCCCGUUCAUGUUGUGUUGGGUUCGGCCCAGUUACAAGACAGAGGCAGAGGAGAUGAAUACAAGAAGUCGAGAAGACACCCUUCUCUCUGUUUCUAAAUUAUAGAGUACCUCGCCUCCUCGCUGCCCGCCGGGGGUGCCUGGUUCAGGUCCGCCCUCGCCUGUUGCGUCUACGUCCUGCUGGCGCAGCUCGCCGCGCUGGGUACGAGGCCGUGGCGGCGGCGGCGCCCGUCGAGGCCGAGGCGCUGCUGCUGCCUGCCGUGCAGGCGCUGGCCUGGGAAGCGCUGCUGGCGCUCGCGCUGCGGGCGCGUGCUGGCGGCCGGGGCAGGUCCCCGGCGCUCGUCCGGGUCUGGUGGGUGCUCUCCUCACUCCCCACCGAGAUCCUUGAUUGGUGAUCCCAGCUCUUCGUGCUCGCCUCGCCCCGCUCCGCCGUGUCAGUCAACCGAUGGAAGAUGGAGUAGGGAUCGGGAGAGGAACAAGGAGUAAGAGGAGACCACUUGCUGGUGGCUAGAGAACCACAUCCCCAGCGCCAUGCUCCUGAGUCCACUUCUACUGCCUCCAGUCGGAAUACCUACCUACAACAGCAAGGCUCUUUCAUUUCAUAUAUGGACGGCAAGGGCGUCUUCAGUAGCGUCUAAACAGGAUUCGACUGCCCACUUGAUGCCAAGGGAGAUGCAUCGCUGUCGCCGUCAAGGGACUCAACCAGCGCGGCCUCCAGAGAUUCACUUAAUUUGGUAUAAAAACAAUAUAGCCACUGCCAUGUCGAUGCACUCUGAAGCUGAAUUGUUUUUUGUGGUUUCAUAUUUUAUUUGGAAGAAUGUCUGGGACCAACUAUCAUUUAAAACACGAAGAAUAUGGUGUUCAUGUUAUUUCUUCGCUUCUUUUUGGUGUUGUGCUGCCCGUUGAGAGCCGACAGGAAGAAUAGGAAGCAGAGUCCGUAGGUCAUGGCUUUGUGCAGCUAGCUAGCAUGAAUAAUCGUGCUGGACGAUCUGGAGCUGGAUUUGCUGCUCGGGCUGGGGCUGGAGCCGGAGCUGGAGCUGGCGUCACCUGCCUCUGCCAGGAACCGUAACUGCCUCUUCCUUGAGCUGCUCCUGCCUUUGCCUGGACCUGCUGCUGGCUGGAGUUGCACCUGCUGAUGGCGGAGGAAGGAAGCGGAGGAUCUGCUGGAGGAGGAGGGAGGCGGAGCUGCUGGAUCUGGACAGAGGGCUGAGGAGGAGGGAGGUGGAGGAUCUGGGCAGAUGGUGGAGGAGGGAGGCGGAGCUUCUGGAUCCGGGAGGAAGAGGGUUGGAGGUAGAGGAAGGAGGCGGAAUUCAAAUUGAGGGGGAAACCUGGUCUUUUUCACGGUUUUCGCCUGGUCGGAGAAUUUCUCCAGCGACUGAUUGCAUUCUUAUGCUUCCAGGUUUAUAUCAGCAACCUGCCUUUACUAUUAGGUUUUCAUAAUUUUGACUACAUAAGUAUGUGUGAUUACUGAACUAUAGACUAUAAAUGUAGUCCUUUAUUUGAGCUUUUAUACGAGUGCAUUAGAUGCUGGUUUUGAGCAUUUGUUUUGCAUGUUUUUUCCUGAUGUUAUAUUAUCUAUUUA